GAAUGUCUGCAGAUACUGGAGAGUGCCG
rnacentral:piRNA from 1 species